UACGUAGGUGGCAAGCGUUGUCCGGAUUUACUGGGCGUAAAGCGUGCGCAGGCGGUUUUGUAAGCCAGAUGUGAAAGCCCCGGGCUCAACCUGGGAAUGGCAUUUGGGACUGCAAGGCUUGAGUGCGGCAGAGGAGACUGGAAUUCCUGGUGUAGCAGUGAAAUGCGUAGAUAUCAGGAGGAAUACCGAUGGCGAAGGCAGGUCUCUGGGCUGACACUGACGCUCAUGCACGAAAGCGUGGGGAGCAAACAGG
rnacentral:rRNA from 1 species